AUUGAACGCUGGCGGCAGGCCUAACACAUGCAAGUCGAGCGAGCGGCGGACGGGUGAGUAAUGUCUGGGAAUCUGCCCGAUGGAGGGGGAUAACUACUGGAAACGGUGGCUAAUACCGCAUAAUAUCAGAUGAACCCAUAUGGGAUUAGCUAGUAGGUGGGGUAACGGCUCACCUAGGCGACGAUCUCUAGCUGGUCUGAGAGGAUGCCCAGCCACACUGGGACUGAGACACGGUCCAGACUCCUACGGGAGGCAGCAGUGGGGAAUAUUGCACAAUGGGCGCAAGCCUGAUGCAGCCAUGCCGCUGGUGUGAAGAAGGCCUUAGGGUUGUAAAGCACUUUCAGCGGGGAGGCGUUACUCGCAGAAGAAGCACCGGCUAACUCCGUGCCAGCAGCCGCGGUAAUUC
rnacentral:rRNA from 1 species